UGGGGAAUAUUGGACAAUGGGCGAAAGCCUGAUCCAGCCAUGCCGCGUGUGUGAAGAAGGUCUUCGGAUUGUAAAGCACUUUAAGUUGGGAGGAAGGGCAUUAACCUAAUACGUUAGUGUUUUGACGUUACCGACAGAAUAAGCACCGGCUAACUCUGUGCCAGCAGCCGCGGUAAUACAGAGGGUGCAAGCGUUAAUCGGCAUUACUGGGCGUAAAGCGCGCGUAGGUGGUUUGUUAAGUUGGAUGUGAAAUCCCCGGGCUCAACCUGGGAACUGCAUUCAAAACUGACUGACUAGAGUAUGGUAGAGGGUGGUGGAAUUUCCUGUGUAGCGGUGAAAUGCGUAGAUUUAGGAAGGAACACCAGUGGCGAAGGCGACCACCUGGACUAAUACUGACACUGAGGUGCGAAAGCGUGGGGAGCAAACA
rnacentral:rRNA from 1 species